GGUGUGAAGCCGGAUGAACGCAGAUAGCGCAAGCCGUAAUUGGAUUGAAACAUAACCAACUCGCGACGAAAGAUCAACUCAAAGUGCAUGAGGAUGCGACCGCGCGCCCCGAGAGUUUGCGCUUCCCCGUCUGUGUGAAAGCUAUCCGUGAGUUUGCCGUGAAUCGACAGCAGCUGCGGAGACAUGGAGCAAGUGGGGUGCGUAGAUCGGCUCGCCCACUUACCUCUCUACCCGGGAUUCAGCCGCUGCCGCGUGGAAAGCAGAGCCGUAGAGCCGUCCGUGUGAUCCGGUGUCGAGGGGAUGCAGACGGUCACAGGCGGAUGCACAGCGGCGCGGGCUAAUUCAGCACACCACGCUAAUCUCCGUGAUGUCACUCCAAACAACUUAGUGGUUGAAGGGGCCCCGCUAAACGAGAGGAUCAGGGAGGGUUUGAAAGAGUCGAAACCAACACAACCAAGGAAGAUUGUCAACGAUCACCAUUCCACACCGAAGACACAACCCAACCCCACAAUAUUAAUCCACAUAACACGAAAUAAACCCCUAAAA